rnacentral:rRNA from 1 species
UACGUAGGGUGCGAGCGUUGUCCGGAAUUAUUGGGCGUAAAGAGCUCGUAGGCGGUUUGUCGCGUCGGCCGUGAAAACUUGGGGCUUAACUCCAAGCUUGCGGUCGAUACGGGCAGACGUUGAGUUCGGCAGGGGAGACUGGAAUUCCUGGUGUAGCGGUGAAAUGCGCAGAUAUCAGGAGGAACACCGGUGGCGAAGGCGGGUCUCUGGGCAAUAACUGACGCUGAGGAGCGAAAGCGUGGGGAGCGAACAGG